UACGUAGGGUGCAAGCGUUGUCCGGAAUUAUUGGGCGUAAAGAGCUCGUAGGCGGUCUGUCGCGUCUGCCGUGAAAACCUGUGGCUCAACUACAGGCUUGCGGUUGAUACGGGUGGGCUGGAGUUCGGUAGGGGAGACUGGAAUUCCUGGUGUAGCGGUGAAAUGCGCAGAUAUCAGGAGGAACACCGGUGGCGAAGGCGGGUCUCUGGGCCGAUACUGACGCUGAGGAGCGAAAGCGUGGGGAGCGAACAGG
rnacentral:rRNA from 1 species